AUGCCACUCUCCAGACCACUGUGGGUGCUCCUGGCCUUGAUCUACUCUGGAUCCAUUGUGGCCCAGAAAGUUACUCAAGUCCAGCCAGCUAUAUCCAGGCAGGAGGGGGCGGCCGUCACUCUGAACUGUCUCUAUGAAACAAGUUGGACGAAUUACUAUAUUUUCUGGUACAAGCAACUUCCCAGUGGUGAGAUCACUUUACUUAUUCAUCAGGAUUCUUCUAAGCCGAACUCAAAGGAUGGUCGCUAUUCCCUAGAUUUCCAAAAAAAAGAUAAAUCUAUCAGCCUCACCAUUUCAACCUUACAGCUGGAAGAUUCAGCAAAGUACUUCUGUGCUCUCCGGGAACCCACAGUGUUUGAAGUGAUAGUGAAAGCUGAACAAAAACCCCAGGGCUCAAUAACAGAGCGCUCCCUGCUGCAGGGUCGGGGCGGAAAUGCGCACCUGCAGAUCCCAGACAAGAAAUGGUAG